rnacentral:rRNA from 1 species
UACGAAGGGGGCUAGCGUUGCUCGAAAUCACUGGGCGUAAAGCGCACGUAGGCGGCUUCUUAAGUCAGGGGUGAAAGCCUGGAGCUCAACUCCAGAACUGCCUUUGAUACUGAGAAGCUUGAGUCCGGGAGAGGUGAGUGGAACUGCGAGUGUAGAGGUGAAAUUCGUAGAUAUUCGCAAGAACACCAGUGGCGAAGGCGGCUCACUGGCCCGGUACUGACGCUGAGGUGCGAAAGCGUGGGGAGCAAACAGG